GUUGAACCCUCUCCAAAAUGGACGAAAAGAAGAAAAAGAAUGUGCUGGAGAACCUGCGCAUCAAAACCAAGUUCCCAAACCUGAAGAAGCUUGGAAAGAAGAACCCUCCAAAGCGGGUAAAGAAGAAGCUGGCCUACCGGCGCAGCAUCUCAGUCCCGGACCUCCGCAUAGACAACUUGGAUAACGACUCCAUCGACGCACCCAGCUUCGAAGCCCCCAGCGACUCCGAUUCGGCAAACGACGGCCCGAUUUACAUGGAACCGUUGCCGGAAGUCCACGUUCGCAAAACCGCGGUUAACAAAGUGCUGGCUUCCAACAGGACCAGCGCACCGGCCAUAACCAACUACGAUGAAAUCAGCCAACUGGAAAAUACCCUUCAGGAGCGGCGAGGCGGCAUUUCCGAGGAUUCUGUGCACGCUCAAGUCAAUAAAGCCAACGCGAAUCCACAGAAAUUUACGUUUGACCCCGUCCCAGCUCCAAGGUCUGUCUACAUCAGCGAGCAAAGUCCGUCCCCAAGACCUUCUGUGGAAGACAUUGGAGAAGAAAGGGGAAGCGUCGCCGCAGCCAUAGCCCGCGCACACUCCAUGGGCGAGCAAGUGAAAGAGAAGGUCUUCGACAAGAAAUCGUCAUCCGAAAAAGGGACACCAUCCACGGCGAGAAAGCGUCGCCCGAACGUCCUUAUCCUGGACGGUUUGGGUCCCCCGGUGGAGAGCGCGGACAAGAUAUCGAUGGACUCUAACGGCGAGACGCCCAGCGAGGAGAGGCUCAACAUGCCCUGGACCACCACCGACUCCGAAGACCAGGACAAGGAAAUGUUCUCUUCCAUGGGCAUGAGCGAGUUCUGUCUGGAUGAAGAGACACUGCUGGGAGCGCAGCGCGACGAGGAGCUGCCCAGUGAAUCGUGUGAGGAUACUUUUCCAGACCCUACAGAAAACUUGAACUGCACAGAGCCCCAGACGCCAGGCGUGUCCCAGAGGUACCUCCUGACCAUCAACCUGAUGCAAGGACGCAACCUGGUCAUCAGAGACAAGCGCAGAGGUACGUCUCCCACAGGACACACUGCCAUGUUCAGAAUGACGGAUUUCUUGAAAUCC
rnacentral:lncRNA from 1 species